GCCAUCGUAGCUCAGUCGGCAGAGCGAUGCUUUCGUAAAGCAUAGGUCGUCGGUUCAAAUCCGACCGAUGGCU
rnacentral:tRNA from 1 species